rnacentral:rRNA from 1 species
AUGGUGCUGGGCGGGUGCAACUUCAAGACCACCGUGGCCUGCUCCGAGGAGGUUGGACACGUCAGCGAGGUCAGCCUCGCCGCGGAGAACGCCGAAGGCGCGGCGGUGAGCGGCGAGGGUGCCCUCCGGCUUCUGGCCGCGGCAAUGGAGGGCCGAAGGAGGGGAGGCGAGAGAGAGCGGGAGGAGGCCAAGGCGAGGUACGAGGUGUUCGUCAGGAGCAAGAAGGGGAGGAAGGAGAGCAAGGCGCGAAGAGAGGUGCUCAUAGACCUGUGCUGCUCCGCCGCCAGCGCCGUCGCCGUGCUGGCCUUCUUCGCCACCGUCGUGCUCCGGUGA